UAGCCUUGACAUACUACAGAAUUUGACAGAGAUGUUGAAGUGCCUUCGGGAGCUGUAAUACAGGUGCUGCACGGCUGUCGUCAGCUCGUGUCGUGAGAUGUUGGGUUAAGUCCCGCAACGAGCGCAACCCUCGUCCUUAGUUACUAACGGUUCGGCCGAGGACUCUAAGGAGACUGCCUUCGUAAGGAGGAGGAAGGUGAGGACGACGUCAAGUCAUCAUGGCCCUUACGGCUAGGGCAACACACGUGCUACAAUGGUUAGGACAAUGAGAAGCGAUACCGCGAGGUGGAGCAAAUCUAUAAACCUAAUCUCAGUUCGGAUAGCAGUCUGCAACUCGACUGCUUGAAGCUGGAAUCACUAGUAAUCGUAAAUCAGCUAUGCUACGGUGAAUACGUUCCCGGGUCU
rnacentral:rRNA from 1 species